rnacentral:rRNA from 1 species
GUGCCAGCAGCCGCGGUAAGACGAACCUUGCUAACGUUAUUCGGAAUUACUGGGCUUAAAGGGUGCGUAGGCGGUGCAGAAAGUCGGGUGUGAAAUCCCCCAGCUCAACUGAGGAAUUGCGCCCGAAACUACUGUGCUUGAGGAAGAUAGAGGUACGCGGAACUUAGGGUGGAGCGGUGAAAUGCGUUGAUAUCCUAAGGAACACCGGUGGCGAAAGCGGCGUACUGGGUCUUAUCUGACGCUGAGGCACGAAAGCUAGGGUAGCGAACGGGAUUAGAUACCCUAGUAGUCC